UUUAUUAAUCUACAACAGUCUACUCAACAUUCUAAAAUUAGAAAUCACAUACAGUAAUUUACAACCAUAUCAUUAACAGAGGGACAUAUAUCAUUUCUUCCAACAUGUCUCCAUGACUCCACUGUCAAUAUCUGUGUCAAAGAAACUAUAUAUUCAGAGUUUUUUGUUCGGAUUACAAAGCAAAAGAAGAUAAACCAAAAUACAAGUAAACCAAGCCAGUUUGGUCCACCUGACCCUCCUCAAGUGCACAGGAGCCCGCUUUGGUAGUUUUGACAGUGCCUGGCUGCAGAACAGUAGCGAGCUGGCAACGCUGGGCAUGUUCUACAUGAACAAUUUGUACCGGAACGCCAUCUGGCUCAGCUGAUUGAACGCCUUCUGAGAGGCACAACGCCCCAGCUCGUGGCACUAGCUAGAACACCAACAGCAGCGACACGAUGCUCCAAGACAUGGAGGCGCCGCUGCAGCUCUCAGCGAUGUGCAUGACCACGGCAGACAGAACCAUGCCGAUGCCCAUACACUGGAGCGAGGGUCAGGCGUCUAAUAAAGUGGUUCUUUGAAGGAUUUAACCCAAAUAGAGUUUUGUAAAAGUGGUUUCUUGAUCCAAACAAAGAAUUGCAUAACAAAAAAACAACUAAAACUAGUUUUCCUAAAGUUUCUCCUAAAACUGGUUUUCUAAAGACCCAACUUAAAUUCUCCUAAAACUAGUUCUUCCUUUCACAUCAUGCCUUUUCGGUAGCCAUGAGCUGGUGACAAAUAUAGCUCGGAAGCGGGAGAAGCGUGGAUACAUGUUCUACUAAUUUAUUUCAAGUCAUGUUGAUCUCCCCCACAGAUUUCUGAUUUGGCUUUCUUGUUCCACCAGUCCCGCAGAUGCCCUUUCUUGAAGUUCCAGGAUUUGUAUGUUCGUAUGCUCACUUCGGUUCAGACCGCAGGGCACAGGCGCUAGCCGGUGUUCAGCAAGCCAACCAAGCCGCUCAGGUGGUUCCUGACUUGCUGUUGCGAAUCAAAUCAGUUGCCACAUGCACCAACAUAUACAUUUGCUAUGCCAACAACUGCUGGAUCUGUAGGGAUACAAGCAAAAAUAGCACCCUAGCAGGAUGCCAGUAUCUGAAGCAAUUUGUAAAAUAGCACCAUGUCUGCUUAGCUGCAAUCUACUGUAUCAUAACGUCAUGGCGGUUCAGACGAAAAUGUAAGUGAGGAAAUCACCUUUUAGUCCAUCAUGGUGCCUCCGGGUUAACCUUUAAUGUGGAUUGUGCGGACUGAGCCGGGGAAGCAUUCUUC
rnacentral:lncRNA from 1 species